GUCCACGCCAUAAACGAUGAGAACUAGAUGUCGGGAGGGUUAGCCUCUCGGUGUGCAGCUAACGCGUUAAGUUCUCCGCCUGGGGAGUACGGCCGCAAGGUUGAAACUCAAAGGAAUUGACGGGGACCCCGCACAAGCGGUGGAGCAUGUGGUUUAAUUCGAUGCAACGCGAAGAACCUUACCUGGUCUUGACAUCCUAGGAAUCCUGCAGAGAUGCGGGAGUGCCUUCGGGAACCUGGAGACAGGUGCUGCAUGGCUGUCGU
rnacentral:rRNA from 1 species